rnacentral:rRNA from 1 species
AGGAUAAACGCUGGCGGCGUGCAUUAGACAUGCAAGUCGAACGGACUUCUCGGGGCUUGCUCUGAGAAGUUAGUGGCGGACGGCUGAGUAACGCGUAGGUGACCUACCCCGAAGUGGGGAAUAACUGCCCGAAAGGGUGGCUAAUACCGCAUGUGAUCGUAUGUUCAUUCGUACGAUCAAAGCCGUAAGGCGCUUUGGGAGGGGCCUGCGUCCGAUUAGCUCGUUGGUGGGGUAAUGGCUCACCAAGGCGACGAUCGGUAGGUGGUCUGAGAGGACGAUCACCCAGACUGGGACUGAGACACGGCCCAGACUCCUACGGGAGGCAGCAGUCGGGAAUUUUGCUCAAUGGCGCAAGGCCUGAAGCAGCAACGCCGCGUGGAGGGAUGAAAGGGCCUUACGGGGUUGUUAAACCUCUUUUAAUCGAGGGUACGAUUAUGACGGUACCUGAUGAAUAAGCCACGGCUAACUACGUAGCCUAGACACGCCGAC